AACAUGAGAGGUCAUAUUAUUUGUUGAUGCAGAUUUCGUAUUACAUUUGAUGACAAUAUAACGUUACUAAAUUGCAUAGCUAUUUGCACAGCUAACGCUAGCUACCAGACCAUGUCAAGAAAGACAACAUUAGUUUAGACAAUGUUGCGCACAGUAUCCAUCUCUCAUAUCAGGUAACGUUGCGUUAGCUAGCUAAUGUAAUGAACACAAUCUAAUGUCAGCUAACAAUUAGAAAAAACGGUAGCUAACGCUACCAACCGGUACCGACCUCGCAAAACGUCUCUCGAAUGCAAUGCUACCUUGUUGCAACGUUGCAGUGUAGCUAACUAAAGGUCAGUUCAGAUCAAUGAUUCGCAACGAGACUGGAUGCAACUUGCAAAAUUCCAAGACGUCUGAUUGCAAACAUUCUAAAACUGCACUUGGCGAUUUGACAAGGUGGGUCUUUUGAGACCCCAGGGCAGGCAACGGCUCUGCUACCAACCAGUUCACACCGCUGCAAUUUUCUCUGCAACAUUCUAAAACCGUUUCGUCUCGUUGCAAAUCAUUGAUCUGAACUGGCCUUAUCGUUACCGUUAUUUACAUUGUCCAUCAAUAUAUUAUAAUGAUCGGAAUAAAGCCGGGGUAUAGGUGGAGCAGAGCCGGGUCUGAUUUAUGUGUAAAGAUGUCAAGCCGGAGAAAAUACGGAAUACGGCAGUAUGGAUUAGCGUUGUUAUUGUUUUAUUACGCUUCCUCAUAUGUUCCUUCAGCCUUGAUGCCCUUUUUUAUGAAAUCUCCUUUGUUUUUGUUCUAUUCUUCUUGUUCUGAUUGCUAAUUUAACACCCAGCUCAGCUUUAUUCUCGAACAGUUUAGCUAGUAAAACCAGAAACACCAGGGGUAACAUUUUGCAAGGCAGUUGUUUCAAAAAUAUCACACAACAAUCAUUUACGAAAAAUACUGUUUAUUGUGCACGAGAUACAUCAGUGCUCUGCAGUGUAAAGAUGUUCAUACCGGGCAAAAGGUGGAUAAAGAACGUUUGUGGAGAUUGAUCAUCACUAAUUCUACCCAAGGUCUGCUACAGCAUUUUAACCCGGCUCGACAGUGUAAAGACAGCUUAAGUUAACCUAAUGUUAGACAACGAAUGAGUAUGUACAUAACGUUACUUUUAUAACAACCAUUUUUUAUUCAGUAAAUAGUGCUAUAGUUGGCACUGCUAAUUGACUGACGUCACACAGGCAACACUGGUUGGAUCCUGUUGGAUCUCUGGGAAGUGAGGUCCAAAAACACACUUGCAAUUACCGCUUCUCGCCAUUGGUCCCUCCAAAGAGAACGAAACAGAAAUCUUCGAGAUUGUAACUUUAAAUGCAACAAGAAAUGUGCCAAAAUUCAUGAGGAAAAAAAAGCAUAAUAUAAUGAGCAUAUUCAGAAGUGUUGUAUGAAUCUCAUAUUGGAACAUUUUAAAGAACGAAAGUAACAAUAAUAAGCUUUAUGUUUGAAACAUUUAAAUGGUAAAAAAAUGCUGAUCAAAAAAUGUUUGCAUGGAAAGGUCACAGUCAGAGUUUUGGAUUAAGAGCUGUUUCAUGCCACCUAAAAUUUGGAGAAAGAGAGAGAGAAAUAAACUGAUUAUGUUUUUUUAAACAAUAAUUCAGUAAAUAACUUAAUGAAAU